GAGGGAGUCCACUGCUACUUGGUGUGUCUGCCCGGAGCCCUUCCAGUGAUGUGGAAAAAGCCACACAGAAGUUUCAUAGUACACCUGCGAAAUUAUCAAGAGAGGAAGAAAGUAACAAGCGGAAGGACUCAGAUAUACUGAGUGGAACUAUCAUAAAAAAGCCUAAAUUUUCUAGUUUGGAGAAAAAUCACUUGCCCUCUGAGAUUAACCAUACACCAAAGAAAAUUUCUGAUUCAGUAGAAGAUGAAGUGGAGAUCCAGAAAGGUCAGAAAAUGGAUGAUAGCCAAGAUGAUGUGGUUUUUUCCAAGAUGCUCCACAAAGACUUGAGUGAUUCAGGAGUGAUUUUUGCCUUUGAAAGCUUUGUUGGUCAACUGAAGAAAUUGUUCUGGGUAAUGUGAGCUCUUUCAACAUGUGUGGCAAUUGAUCAUAUUAUGUGAAAUUACCUUUUUAUCUCAGGGAGAGUUGGUGCAAAUAUCCCAUCUUUAGUUUGUGUUCAGGAGUAGGGCUUUGGUGGCAGUGUCUGUUAGUCUGGAGCUCUUAGAAGUAUUCUACAGAACUUGUAUAUUCUGAGUAGUGUUACAGGGAAGACAUAAAGAAAAUGUAAAUUAGAUUUUUUCCUAGCACAACACUGUCCUGAAGCCACAUAGGUUACAUUGAGGCUUCUUGGUGUAACUACUGUGAGUGAAUUAAAUCAGAGGAUAUCUGCAGCACUGAUGUGUUUCAUCUUACUGCAGAUUAAAUUUGAUUUAAGACGGUUUCUGCAAAGAUGAAUGGCAAGUUCCUGCAGAGGAACAUGUUUUCCACGGAAAGGUUUUGCAAGCUAGACUUCUAGGUUUUGACUAGGGCCAUUGCCUAUCCCUAACUGUGCAUCCUGUGGCUAGUCCCGGUACAAAAGGAUUGAGAUCAACACAAAGGAUGCCCUGAGAUCUUCAGAGAAGAACUUGUCUG
rnacentral:lncRNA from 1 species